GGUCACACGGGGCCUGGACGAGGCGGGAGGACAGCCAGGACCCAGCAUCCUGCAGAGUUCCUGGCGAGGACGCUGGGACAUGGCCUUGGCGUCUGGCAGGACGUGGGGACAGGAAGGCCCCCUGCCCUCCCCAAGGACCUGGCUGGGCGGGCGAUGUUUGCAGGUGCGUCUCCAGGGAGCAGGAAACAAGCUUCCGGAUAACUGUUCCCGCAGAGAGCGGCGGGGACGCCAGCGCCCGCCCUGCUGGGGGCUGGGUGCCUGAGCCAGCAGCCACCCCAGGUGCCCAACCUGCACGUGGGCCGGAGGCAGGGGUCGCCCAGGCCAGCAACUGGGCAGCUCCUUGCCACGCACGUGCUGUGCCCAGGGGGCAGCGGAGCUCUGGGGACACCUGGCAGCUCAGCCAGAAAUGCCAAAGCAAGAGCUCCCGGGCAUCAUGGCCGCCAUCCGAGCCACCUUAAACCGUGCUGCUCUCCCUGCAGCGCCCACAGGCUCCGCUGAGGAGUGGGAGCCCUUGCUGGGAGGGCCACGCCUGCCCUGCAAGGAGCUGGAACCCUCAGAGCCCCUGCAGGGGGACGUGCCCGAGGCUGCGGCCUGAGGCUGGCUCCAGGCGACCUUCCUGCCAAGCCCUGGGACAGGAGGGGCAGCUGCGGCUUCCCCUCGAGCUAUAAAAAGCCCAAGCCCGGCCCAGCGAGCAGAGGGCAGAGCGAGGGACAGGACGCACAGGACUCGGAGCUCGGACCAGCAACAUGAGGUUGGGCCCCGCCAUCAGGCUGCUGCAAGCCCCCCUGAGGGCCUGCGUGGUCCCCAAGGCGCAUAUCUCCGCCAAGCCGGCCAAAACACCCACUUCUGCCUCCGAGCAGGCUGCGGCGCUCGUGGUGACCUUCCUCAGCUUCAUGGUCCCCUCGGGCUGGGUGCUGUCCCACCUGCAGAGCUACAAGAGCCGCUCCGCCGAGUGAGGCUCUGCCCAGCGAGGCCGGGCAGCUGCCGCCGUGGACAUGGGAGGGAGCUCUCAUUAAACCCUCCCCCACCGAA